GGGUCUAUAGCUCAGUUGGCGGAGCAGCCGUCUUUUAAGCGGCCGGUCGGAGGUUCGAUUCCUCCUGGACCCA
rnacentral:tRNA from 1 species